CAAUAGCGUAUAUUAAAGUUGUUGCAGUUAAAAAGCUCGUAGUUGGAUUUCUGGUGGGAGCGAUCGGUCUGGCGCUUAGCGCGAGUACUUGCAUCGUCUCCGGCCAUCCUUGGGGAGAGUCUGUCCGGCAUUAGGUUGUCGGGCAGAGGAUCUUCAUCGUUUACUGUGAAAAAAUUAGAGUGUUCAAAGCAGGCUUAUGCCGUUGAAUAUAUUAGCAUGGAAUAAUAAGAUAGGACUUUGGUACUAUUUUGUUGGUUUGCGCACCAAAGUAAUGAUUAAUAGGGACAGUUGGGGGUAUUCGUAUUCCGUUGUCAGAGGUGAAAUUCUUGGAUUUACGGAAGACGAACUACUGCGAAAGCAUUUACCAAGGAUGUUUUCAUUAA
rnacentral:rRNA from 1 species